rnacentral:rRNA from 1 species
UACAGAGGUGGCAAGCGUUGUUCGGAAUUACUGGGCGUAAAGGGCGCGUAGGCGGCCAGCACAAGUCAGUUGUGAAAUCUCCGAGCUUAACUCGGAAAGGUCAACUGAUACUGUGCGGCUAGAGUGCGGAAGGGGCAACUGGAAUUCUUGGUGUAGCGGUGAAAUGCGUAGAUAUCAGGAAGAACACCGGUGGCGAAAAGCGCUCUGCUAGGCCGCAACUGACACUGAGGGACGAAAAGCUAGGGGGAGCGAAAUGGGAUUAGAAAACCCCC